AACUUUGUUUAUGUGUUACAUAUUUGUUUUUCGUUCAUUUUUUUUUACAUAAAUAUGGCCGUUAGUUUUCUCGUUUGAAUUGUUUUACAUUGUCUUAUCGGGGCCUUUUAUAGCUGACUAUGCGGUAUGGGCUUUGCUCAUUGUUUAAGGCCGUACGGUGACCAAUAGUUGUUAAUGUCUGUGACAUUUUGGUCUUUUGUGGAUAGUUGUCUCAUUGGCAAUCAUACCACAUCUUCUUUUUU
rnacentral:lncRNA from 1 species